ensembl:lncRNA
AGUAACAUUUUUCAAGUUAUUAGUUGAACAAAAAUUGGUCUGUUGCUUCUAAUAUAUAUACAGAGGAGAAUGAAUAAUUGUUUAUUGAAACACAAAAAAUACUAUGGGUUACUUGCUGCAUCACUUCCCUGAUUCAAUUUCCUAGUCUUUAAAAAGAGUAUAGGAAGACCAUCUGCAGCAUAUAAAGAGGAGUCAGUUAUAUAAUGUUUAUAUCAGUCAGUUAUAUAAUGUUUUGCAAGCAUCCUACRUGUAGAGCACUGUUUUUUAGACAAUGAACAUCGGAUAAAAUGUUCCAGAAAUAAGUGAAUUACAACUGUGAAGAAACUAUGAAGAAUAUCAGUUUGGUGAAUCUUGGUAAACUUCUAGAUGACUUCUCAGUGAUAGAAAAGAAAAUAUCAGAAAUUAAUGAAGCAAAUAACCUACUGGUUCUUCAGCUGGAAAAAUCUAACAUGUUGGUAAAAUUAAGCCAAUCAAAAGAGGAUUCAGUAAAAGAAGGAAACAAUCUUUUGGCGGCGAGGAGGAAAAGGCUCAGCUUUGGACACCUAAUGAUGUUACUGUUCCCAAAAGUACACCCUUCCCAUCCAUACAGGCCUCUUGAGCAUCGAGUGAACCACCACAGUUUGCGAUGCGAGCAUUUUUAGGCAGGCUAGUAUAAGUAGUGUUUAGCUUAAAAUGCAAGCCUGUAACUUGUAGUUAACAUUCACAAGCAGUUCAGAUGUCUGUAUAGAAUGAUAGAGUCAACAUUUGGGAACCAUAAGGCCAUCAGUGACAUCAUCACAUCCCAAGCUGAGCUGUUCUGUUGCUAUUAAUAUGACCAAAUCUAAUGUUAUGUUUCAGCUGGUUGCCAGAAACAUUUUCUCCACUGAAAAAAAAMCAUCAAAGUUUGAAAAUGUCAGAGUUCCAAAACAUCAAAGUUUGCCUGUAAUUGGAGAUGGGAUGUCAAGCUGGUGGGACUGGUGCUCUGAGAUGGUGUAAAAGAUGUUAUCUCUUAGCUGAUUGUGUGAUUUGGUUUAUUUAAGGUCAAUUUGAUUUGAUUCCAAACCCCCCAAUCUGAGGUUUGGAAUACAUUUCCCUCUACCAUGCUGACAGGUGCAUUGAAGUUCUAGUAUUUCUCUUUUAAUGUUGGUCACUGAAAUAAUUUAGCCUAAAUUAAUUCUGUGCCGUUGUAUUGGACUUUAGAUAUUGGUGGAACUCAAGUCUUGUGUUUUCCCUAAGCAUUUGUUUAGCUUCUUGAGGACUGAAAAGCUUUAGUCUAUCCAAAGUGAUUAGACUUUAUAUCUGCGUGAGAUUUAAUCCCUUGUGAUGCUAAGAGGUCAGGUUAAACAAUGKGACAGCCUGUUUGACUUUAUAUCAUCAUCAAGAUUUUAUCACGGUAGCAUUUCCAACUCAAUUAUACAGCAUUAGCAAUCACACACAAUUCCUUCAAGCUUGCGUUCAAUUACUCUGAUACUGAUCAUUGUCAUAGGUUUAUUCCAUAGGAUGUAUUUCUCUUACUUUAGUUUUAAUGUGAUCAGGGUUUUGGUCGUAUUUCUUUUACUUUGUAUAAUGGAUGUCAUUAUGGCGUUAAAAAGUUGUGGAUGGUAAUAAAAAUUUAUCUAAAUGUUAAGAGUAUUCA